AUUGAACGCUGGCGGAAUGCUUUACACAUGCAAGUCGAACGGCAGCACGGGGCAACCUGGUGGCGAGUGGCGAACGGGUGAGUAAUACAUCGGAACGUGCCCAAUCGUGGGGGAUAACGUAGCGAAAGUUACGCUAAUACCGCAUACGAUCUACGGAUGAAAGCGGGGGAUCGCAAGACCUCGCGCGAAUGGAGCGGCCGAUGUCAGAUUAGGUAGUUGGUGGGGUAAAGGCCCACCAAGCCGACGAUCUGUAGCUGGUCUGAGAGGACGACCAGCCACACUGGGACUGAGACACGGCCCAGACUCCUACGGGAGGCAGCAGUGGGGAAUUUUGGACAAUGGGCGCAAGCCUGAUCCAGCCAUUCCGCGUGCAGGAUGAAGGCCUUCGGGUUGUAAACUGCUUUUGUACGGAGCGAAAAGGCUCUCUCUAAUACAGGGGGCUCAUGACGGUACCGUAAGAAUAAGCACCGGCUAACUACGUGCCAGCAGCCGCCGUAAAAC
rnacentral:rRNA from 1 species